UAAUUUCAGCAGGUUCCUUCGAUCCCUCGACACAUAUUUGACGUCGUUCGGAGUUGGUGCAAACAGAAGAACAGGCAAGCAAAAAGCCCGCAGAAUCAUCUUCGUGAGAACCUGUCGAAAUCCAGAACAUGAUCGGUAUUCUGUUAUAAUACUUGAUCAGGCUCAUGAAAGGAUUUUAAACACGAACACACUGCUGGGAUUGAUGAAACGAUUAGUAAAAAAGUGUGCUUCGAUUUGAAGGUUCUUAUAACUUAAGCAACUCUUGAUGAUCGAUGGUAAUAAAGUAUCGCAGUUCCAUCUGAAUGUCCCAGGGAAACUAAACCCGGCCCGGUGGAAAUAUUGUACAAAAAUGAGCGUCCUAAGAGAUAUACAUAAUAAGGAACCUGAAGGUGAUGUCUUAGUAUUCAAGACUGGACAGGAUGACAUAGAGAAUUUGGUCUCUAGUUAAGUUAUAAGCCUGGAAGAAGGAUCUGUCUUGGAUGCCAUGCAUAAUCCUUCUUCACGGUUCUCUGCAGCCUGAAAUGCAGGCAAGU